rnacentral:rRNA from 1 species
GACGAACGCUGGCGGCGUGCCUAAUACAUGCAAGUAGAACGCUGAAGAGAGGAGCUUGCUCUUCUUGGAUGAGUUGCGAACGGGUGAGUAACGCGUAGGUAACCUGCCUGGUAGCGGGGGAUAACUAUUGGAAACGAUAGCUAAUACCGCAUAAAAUGGAUUAUCGCAUGAUAAUCCAUUGAAAGGUGCAAAUGCAUCACUACCAGAUGGACCUGCGUUGUAUUAGCUAGUUGGUGGGGUAACGGCUCACCAAGGCGACGAUACAUAGCCGACCUGAGAGGGUGAUCGGCCACACUGGGACUGAGACACGGCCCAGACUCCUACGGGAGGCAGCAGUAGGGAAUCUUCGGCAAUGGACGGAAGUCUGACCGAGCAACGCCGCGUGAGUGAAGAAGGUUUUCGGAUCGUAAAGCUCUGUUGUAAGAGAAGAACGAGUGUGAGAGUGGAAAGUUCA